rnacentral:rRNA from 1 species
GAUGAACGCUGGCGGCGUGCCUAAUACAUGCAAGUCGAGCGAACAGACGAGGAGCUUGCUCCUCUGACGUUAGCGGUGGACGGGUGAGUAACACGUGGAUAACCUACCUAUAAGACUGGGAUAACUUCGGGAAACCGGAGCUAAUACCGGAUAACAUGUUGAACCGCAUGGUUCAACAGUGAAAGACGGUCUUGCUGUCACUUAUAGAUGGAUCCGCGCCGCAUUAGCUAGUUGGUAAGGUAACGGCUUACCAAGGCAACGAUGCGUAGCCGACCUGAGAGGGUGAUCGGCCACACUGGAACUGAGACACGGUCCAGACUCCUACGGGAGGCAGCAGUAGGGAAUCUUCCGCAAUGGGCGAAAGCCUGACGGAGCAACGCCGCGUGAGUGAAGAAGGUCUUCGGAUCGUAAAACUCUGUUAUUAGGGAAGAACAAAUGUGUAAGUAACUAUGCACGUCUUGACGGUACCUAAUCAGAAAGCCACGGCUAACUACGUGCCAGCCGCCGCAGUAA